rfam:Myotis davidii contig59241, whole genome shotgun sequence.
AGUGGUUCUCAGGUGACACAUCCUGGAAUCAGGCUCCCUCCUCUCUGGUUCUGGGGUGCAUCAUCUAAGAACUGCC